CAGCCGCCGCGGUAAUACGUAGGGUGCGAGCGUUAAUCGGAUUUACUGGGCGUAAAGCGUGCGCAGGCGGCCCGUUAAGACAGGUGUGAAAUCCCUGGGCUCAACCUAGGAAUUGCGCUUGUGACUGGCGGGCUCGGGUACGGUAGAGGGGGGUGGAAUUCCUGGUGUAGCAGUGAAAUGCGUAGAGAUCAGGAGGAACACCGAUGGCGAAGGCAGCCCCCUGGGCCUGUACUGACGCUCAUGCACGAAAGCGUGGGGAGCAAACAGGAUUAGAUACCCUGGUAGUCCACGCCCUAAACGAUGGGUACUAGCCGUUUGGUGCGCGAUAGCGCUGAGUGGCGAAGCUAACGCGUGAAGUACCCCGCCUGGGGAGUACGGCCGCAAGGUUGAAACUUAAAGGAAUUGGCGGG
rnacentral:rRNA from 1 species